rnacentral:rRNA from 1 species
CUGUUAAGCGUGCUUGGACGAGAGUAGUAGUAGGAUGGGUGACCUCCUGGGAAGUCCUCGUGUUGCACCCC